GCGAGGAGGGUCGCUGCCAUCUUCUGCUCGGCAGCCCCAGAGCACCGGGAGGAGUCCUCAGGAGCCACCACACAGCGGGGGACAGCGCCACAGACGCCAGGACACCCGAGGACAGCGCUGGAGCUUGCCUUCAAGGCAAAAGAAGCCCGCUGGAGACCGCCAGAGACCGUCGGGGACAGAAGGACACCGUGGGAUCUGCACCUUGCCUUAUAAAAGGAGAAGUGUGGAGACUUGGAGACAAAACCUGACGAGGUUUGGUCAGGAAUUCUUGACAGGACUACCGGAAGGAGAUUUUGAAGGUCAGAGGCAUUUGGGCACUCUCGGCAGUCCGGGAGAUGGCUCCGGCUCAAGGUAGGACAGGGUAGGAUAGGCUAGGGCUUGGGCAGGUCCUGGGGGGCGUGAGCAGCCUGUGCAUGGGACGAGGAGCCAGGUCUGGCUCACAUGCUCAGGGAACAGCCGAUCGCCAGCACUGGGGUCAGGAAGGAAUUUUUUCCCCCGGGGCAGAUUGGCACUGGUCCCCGGGGGUUUUUUGCCUUCCUCUGCAGCACUGAGCAUGACCACUUUGCAGAGCUCCUCUGGGCCCUUUUGGCUCGGUUCCUGCCUGCUGCUCAAGCACCAGGAAGAUGGCCUCUCGUGCCCCGCAGCUGGGGGGAGGAAGGCUUUUUUUUCCCCCCGAGGUGGGACAGCAAGCGUCUCCGGGGGUUUUUUGCUUUCCUCUGCAGCGCUGAGCACGGCCCCUUGCCACGGCUUCUUUGGGCCAUUUGGGCUGGGCGCCUGCUGCUCCACGAGGUGGCCCUAAACUUAGCUAGAAUAGCCUAUCCAAAGCAGCAUAGAACUAAUCGCCUAAACCAACCUUAAAGAAGUGCAAGGAACUAACCCGCCUUCAAGAAGCUAAAAUAAACUGAAACUAAACACUUGUA